CAGCACAGUGGAGCGAUUAACUGGGCUGUGUAUGGGAGGCAGAGGACCUUCGAAGAUGUCAUUACCAUGUGAUCGGUCACAUGGGUGGGAGGAGCCUGAUUGCUGUGCUGUGGAGGCCCAGGAAGAAUGUGUUUAUCAUGAGAAGCACAGUUUUACAAAGUUCGUUCUGAGGAAGCUCAGAGUUCCAUGGUGAGAUAUAUGGUCCUCUGUGGACUUUCUCCCAGUAAUGGCAGGAGGCAUACGCAUUUGCUGGACCAUUCAGGGACACAUAUAGUUCAAACAAGGCUGCAUUGUCAUGUGAGAAGAAGGAAAGUCAAGGUUAAGGCAGCUGAAUAUGAGAGCGGAAGAUGCUUUUUAUUCAUGAAAAGAUUAAACAGUACAAUUGGAAAUAACUCUACUUCCAAUGAAGACGGUGAUUUGACAAUGGAGUAACAUUGCUCCAAUACUGCAUCUAAG